UUCUUUCUUCCAUUUUCAAGAAAAUAAUUUAUCAGUGAUGUCGAUAUUAAUGGUGUUAAAUCAAAUGAUUCAUCAGUGAAAUUUCUGAGAGAAAUUUCUUGACUUUUCUUUCUUUCUUUUUUAAGAAAAUGAUUUAUCAUUGAUACCACCAACAUCACCGCACCAAUACUAUCAAUGGCAGGAAUCGAUUCAGCACCCGAUGUCACCAUUGAUGGUGUUAAAUCAAAGAAAAAAAUGGGAUUUAGCUCCUUUAAAAGGGAAGUUUGGUCCUUCAAAACACAAGCUGUUGAAAAUUUAAAAAAAAGCCACACUUCAAAAGGUACUAUACAUAUCUAUCGGAUUAAAAAUUCGUCAGGUACAUAAUUUUUACUAUUGAGAUACAUAAAUGGCUUCAUUUUAUGCAUGAGACAUAAUUUUAAUUAUGUAUCUUUCUUCAGUCUUAUUACAAUAUUAUGUAUGUAGACUAAAGAGAUUAAAAAAUAAAUGUAUCUUAGUACUAAAUUUUGAUAUUGUGAUACACAAUUAACAUUAAUUUCAUGCCUGAGAAAUAAUUUUAAUUAUGUAUCUCUCUUUAAUAUGAGACAGAAUUAUGUAUCUCCACCUAAUAACUUCAAAAAGUGAUUGUAUCUGAGUUAAUAUGACUACGACACAGACUAAUUACUAACUGCUUUAUUUUUUAUGUACAUCAAUGUUGGGUAUGCAUUAUAUAGUUAAAGAAGAUUCACCGCAUCAGUUAAGGUAUGACAGAUUUUGCAAUGCUAAAAUUCUAAAAGAUUUUAAAGAAAUUCUGAAAGAUAAGGGGGUGGAGUUGGUCGGUCAGACGGGGGUGAUAUUCUUUUGAAUUUUAAAGAAAGGAGAAGAAUGUUUCAACAAGAUGAAUGAGGGUCCUUUUUUUGAAAAAAAAUAUCAACAUUAUAACUAGUUAUGAAUUUCUAGGGAUUUUGACAGUAAUUUUGAAGUUAUAAAGCAUGAUUUUCUCCUUAAUUUUAUUAUUUUUCUUUUUUUAGCGUGUCAUAGUUGUUUUAAUGGAUGUGUCAGAUAAGAUGUAUCUCUUAUUAAUAGAUGUAUCAGAAAAAUAGAAAUUCGAGAUUUUAUGAAAUUUUGCCAUAGUUGUUUAAUUGGAUGUAUCAGAUAAGAUGUAUCUCUUAUUAAUAUAUAGAUGUAUCGAAAAAAUAGAAAUUCGAGAUUUUGUGAAAUUUUAUUAAACGUUGGAAUAGGACGUAAUUUGGGAUAAACAUGUAGAAAUUUAUGUAAAACAUUCACUCAAUUUUAUUUUUCUUCCCUUCAUUUCUCAUUCAUCUUUUGUAAUUAGAACACAACAUUUUAGUGUCUUGAAACUAAUUCUCAAUAAUCCUUUUAUAUCUUUUUGCUAAUAUUUUAGGAAAAAAGACAUUGUCUGACCAUGAUAAAACAAAUAGUUCAUAUAUUUGAGUCAAUUGACAAAGAAUGAUUAAUCGGUCAAACUAAUUCCUAAAAUUGGCUAUUUUCAAUCUUUUUCCCAUUUGGAUCACUUUCAUCUACCCUUCCUUUCAAACCAAUUCCUAAAAUUGGUCAUUUUCAAUCUUUUUCCCAUUUAGGUCAUUUUCAUCUAUCCUUCCUUUCAUUUGUACGCUCGAAAAUUAAGAACAAUCUCUUGAGAUUGAUAUGGAUGAAACAUUUCCUCCUUUAACAUGGUGAUGAAGCCCCUUCUCAGAAGCAAGAGAGGGUUUUUAAUUUAAAAUCAUGGAGUAAUUGUAGCUAUAUUUUUCAUAUAUUUGUUAGAUUUUCGUCCAAUAAUUUCAAAUCCCGCUAUAACAUUUUCUUUUUGCUACAAAUUUUUUGACAUAAAAAAAUGUGCUUUUUUUUAAAAGAAAAUAAUUAAAUACAAUUGUAUAGAAAACUUUAUAUUUUUCUAUAAAAUAUGUAUUAAUAUAAGAUAUAUGUAUAGAAAUUAGAUAAGAUUUGUAUAUAAAUUGUAUAGUUAUUGUAUAAAAUAUGUAGUAUAAAAUACAUAUAAAAAUUAUAUAGAAUGCGUAUAGAAAUUAUUUUAUUUUAUAAAAUACGUAUUUGAAUAAUAAAAACCAAUUGUAUAGAAACUUUAUAAUUAUUCAAUAGAUUAUGUAUUAAUAUAAGAUAUAUGUAUAGAAGCUAAAUAAGAUUUGUAUAUAAAUUGUAUAGUUAUUGUAUAAGAUAUGCACUAUAAAAAAUUUGUAUGUGUGCAGAAAUUAUAUGGUUGUUUCAUAAAAUACAUAUUUGAAUAAUAAUUGUAGCUAAAGGUUGUAUAGAAUGUGUGUAGAAACUAUAUAAUUUUUAUAGAAUGUGUAUAAAAUUAUAUAAUUAUUGUAUAGAAUAUGUUUUUGUAUAUGUGUGUGUAGAAAGUGUAUAAAUAUUGUAUAUAUUAUGUAUUUAAAUAUUAUUCCAGCUAAAGGUUGUAUAAAAUGUGUGUAGAAAACAUAUAAUUAUUGUAUAGAAAAUGUAUUUGUAUAAUAUAUGUAUAGAAAUUAUAUCACUAUUGUAUAGAAUAUGUAUCAGAAUAAUUAAUGAAACUAAAAAUUGGAUAGGAUAUGUAUAGAAACUGUACAAUUAUUAUUAUGAAGUGUAUGUAAGUUGUAUCAUUAUUUGUAUAAUAUAAAUAUAUUGCCCUUCAUUAAAUGUUUUACUUCAGACAAAAUCGUCUUUUCACCUUUUUUCUUAAAUUAUAAUAUUAAAUGAUGAUUCUAAUAUUUAGUAUUUUAAAGUUAAUUAGAGUUCUUUCUUACCUAGGUCAGAAAUCACAUCAUUUAACACUUUUAAUUCACUUAAAAUUUACCUUAUAUAAUAAAGGGCAAAAUUCAGAAAUAACAUACUUAUCCCCUUAAUUAUGAGUUUCAUAUUAACAGUUUCAUAAUUACAUAAUAUAGCAAGUUUUAUUUUAUAUUUUUGCAAACUGUUGCUACAAAAAUACAAAUACAUAUGAUUUUUACCGUCCUUAUGAUCGAUAUGUAUUUUAUAUUUUUGUAAGUUACUACAAAAAUACAAAUAUAUACAAAUACAUAUGCUACAAAAUGUAAUUUGAUAAAAGUGUUGCUAUUUUUUGUAAUUUAAAACUUAAGUGUGCAACUUUAUGUAUUUUUUCCUGUAAUAAAAGAUUCUUAUAAUUGUAUUAAAACAAUAUCAACAAAAAAACUAAAAGUGUCAAAAUUUGGGUAGGUGAAAAAGCAUAAAAUUUAACACUUAUUUAUUAAAUAGAAUUAUACCUUAUAUAAAAAAAAAUAUCUAUAAAUUAUUGUGCUUCUACAUUUUCUUUUUAUUUUGAUAUGUUUAUAAAUUAUCGUGUUUCUAUAUUUUCUUUUUAUUUUGAUAUUUUGAUUGAUGAUUAAUUAAAGCUUUCUUCUUACACUCCUUAUUAUCAUUUUCUUUUUCUUCUUCAUUCCUUUUAGUUGAUAAAAAUUAAAUAUUAUAUAUGUGUUAUACAUAAUUAAUACGGGAUUUUUCCUUUUAAUAAUUUCUCACAUUUCUCUUUCAGUUGAAAAAUUAUACGAAACAAGCAUAUUAUCGUCGAAUGAAGUAGCUGAAAAAAUCAAAGGUUUAUCUCUUUUCCUUUUCAAUUACUUUUUACGAGCGUUGUAUUUCUCCUUCCGACUACUGCAAAUUUUACUCCUUUCACAUGUAUUUGAUAGUUUAUACGUAUAUUUGCUAUAUAUUCCAAUAACGCAUAGUGCUAAAUUUUUUAAAGCAACAUCAUAUAGCACUAUUAUGAUAGUAAUUUCACUUGAUUCAGUUAUUAUUUUUUUCCUUGCGACAGUUUUUUUAUGCACUGUUCAUUUGUUGUAUAAUAUAGUUCAUGUUGAAAUAUUUUGUUGAUUAACUUUAGUAUUUCUUUGUUAAAAUUCUUUCCUUAGCAUAUUAUAUUUUCUUAUAAUAGUAAAGAUAUUAAUUUGUUGCCCUCUAACACUUUCUAAAAUCAUAUGAAUUGCUCCAUAUGUUACAUCGAGAAAACUUAAGCAUUUUUUAUCGUUCCAUAGUCCUUGUAGUUUUUCUUAAUUCAGUUUAAAAUGAUUUUUAAUGCUUUUAUAUGAAUAUAUUAAUUUUCUAUUUAAAAUUUUUUGUAUUUAAUAAAAUCAUCAAUUUAUUUUUAAUCAAUGUAUUUUUUACUUUAUAAUAUUAUAAAAUUGAACUCAUUGAAGCGAGACACACGUGCGGAGCGUGUACCCUAAACUAGCAUAUAUAUAUAUAUAUAUAUAUAUAUUUGGUAUCAAAUAUGCAUUGACACAUUCUUUUUUAAAUGUAUGUGAAGAAAAAAAUUCUUUUAUACAAUAAUUAUAUAGUUUUUAUAAUUAUUAAUUACUUUUUAUUUUGAUAAGAUUAAAAAAAUAAAUAAUUUGAUUAUUCUUUCAAAUAAUGGAGGAGAAAAAAGUAAAGGAAUGAUUAGAAAAAAGAAAUUAAAAAAAAUAAAGAAGCACGGACGAAUCAGAAAUUAAAAAGCAAAAAAAAAUAAAUAAAGAACAUGCUUCCACAAAAAGAAAAGAAAUUUAAAAAAAAAAAAAAAAAAAAAAAAAAAAAAAAAAAAAAACAUGACUAAUCAAAAAUUAAUAAAUUUUUUUUUUUUUAAAAAAAAAAACAUGCAUCUGCACGUAUAUCGAUGAUGGAGUCAAAUUUGUUUUGGCCUAUCCGCCAUUAUUGCACUUUCCCCAAUAUUUUGACAGCAAUGUUGUAGACAUUCCUGAUGAAUCUGACUGGUCUAUAAUCUUUCAGUUCAAUUGCACCUUUUUGGGAGAACUCGGGUAAUAAACGAAACAUUGCAUAAUCAUCUUAUUACUGAAUGGCAUUUUUAAAAUGAAAGCGAAUAAAAGUAUCCGUCAACUCAUCUAUAAUAAUUCAUCAUAUUAAUAAAAAAAUAAGAAAAUAAGAGUAAAUACUUAAUUACUCUCUGAUAUUGGCUGAGAUUUUCAAAAAAUAUCUAAACUUUAAAUUUGACAUAUUACCCUACGAUUAUUAUUUAAUUCUUUGCAAAUACAUCAUUUUUCACUGAAUCAGUCACAAUAAAAAAAAUGAACACACGCACCAAUCAAAUACUGCCACAUGUUAAAUAUAUCUAAUUUCAUGUUUUAUUUAUUUUUUAAUAAUUUUUUUUUAAUUUAAUUUAUCACCCCACUCCAUUUAAAUUAAGUUUUAAGCUCCAUUUUUUUUUAUUUAUGACCCCACACCACCCCUUACUUCCAUCCCCACUCCGUCCAUCAUCUCCCUCCCCCAUCUCUGUCCAGUUUCUUUCAUUAAAAUGGAACUUAAAGCUCCACUAAAAUGGAGAUUGUACAUCAGCUUUCCUUUUUGAAAUUAUGGUAAUGAUAAUGUCAUUUUUGUUGCUUUAAUUGAUGUUGGUGCUCCUGUAAUUGAUGUUGUUAUAAUUGAUGAUAUUAUUAUUGUAAUUGAUGUUGUUGUUGAGUUAUGGUGAUGAAGAAGAAGUUUGGAAAGAAGACAAUGGUGGAUGAUGGGUUUAUGAAAUAAUUUUAAAAAAUAAAUAAAUAUUAAUUUUUUCCUUCUAAAAAAUAUAUAAAUUAUAUAUUAAUUAUUUACACGUAGCAGCUUUUAAUUGAUCAAAAAAAUUAAAUUUGAGCCCUUUCACGCGCUUAUGGCACGUGUAUACACGCAGUGAUCCAAAAUAGUAUAUUUGCAACGGAAUAAAGAAGAAUGGAUAAUAGAUCGAAUUCAAAAUUUAGGUGUCUUUUUAAAAAUGUCGGCCAACAUCCGAAGAGUAAUUAUGUAUUUACUCAAAAAAUAAAAAUAAUUAUAUAUGUUGCUUGUCGUGUACAGAAUUUUGAUAGUCUUGGAUUACCCCUUACAUAUGUUGCUUGUCGUCACUUAUAAUGUUAUAUUUUAUCGAUCUUUAACUUAUCAGUGCAGUUGUUCCAAGGCUAGGCUUUUCUUAUGCUAAUUCUUCUCUUAUUAUAUUUACUAGAUUUACUAUUGCACUGAGCCCUAUUCUAUCUCGGGUAACCUGAUUACGGCUUUAUCUGAUAGAAUUUACUAUACUUGGGGGAGUAUGUGGUAUCUCUCCACCUUCUCCUUUAGCAACUGGAUUUCUAUCUCCAUGACAUCUCAUCAACCUUUGUCAAUUGUUGUAAUUCCAAGUAUCACACUUCAUCUCUUGCCACCACCUGGUUAUUUUAGGAAUUGACAUGAACUGGUUUAAUGAGGCUCAAGGUACCACCUGACUCGUCAGUCGCACCCCCUUAACAAAAAAAUCAAAUUAAAUAGGAGAAAAAAUUGAACGCCCACAAGUACCUGAAAUUCUUACAAUGCAUUGUAAAAUAAAACCCUUCAGGGUUCAAACUUUGGUUGUUUGAAGUAAGGUCUGAAAUCACUAAGAAAUUUCUACAGUAAAAACAAGCAUGUCCCUCAUUCUAUAGGGACCAACAUCAGUGGCAAAUUUUGCAAAACCUGAAAAAUAAUGAUACUAGCAACUAGGAAGAGGAAGCCAGGGUUCCUAGGAGCUACACCAGUACAGUAAAGAACACCUGCACAAAAACAAAAAUGGGUAAAAAUGUAAAAGAGUAUAUCAAACAAUAUACUCUUUAGGUUGACGGCGAGCAUUUUAAUUUCUUCCACCUCUGAAGGAGUAUUGCAACUUUGUGACAAUAUCUUCGAUCACCUUUCUAAAAGCUCAUCUUGCAAUUUGUGCACAGGUGGAAUCGUCUUUGUUUGACCAACUCUCGCUGAUUCUACAUGCCUGAAUUGAGCGAUCGAUCUGGAGACCUACAGUUCCUUCCUUCUCCAGGAGCGAGCAAUAGCUUCCGAAUGUCGGGACACUUACAUGAAGUUGAAAAUCCAGUCCAAACAAGAAUUUCAUCUCCAGCUUAUUCAACUCUUUUGUGGUUACACCACCUACUCUUGCAUAGUAUGCAUUGUUAUAAAAUC
rnacentral:lncRNA from 1 species